AACUACACAAAAAUAUGAUAGAAAAACACAAAAUCAAACAAAAACUCCCUUUUUUUCUUUUUUUCUUUUUUUCGCAACACAAGCUUUGUGUUUAAAAAAAAAUCGCACAACAUGAAAACACGCGGCGUUCUACUGCCUCGUCCUUUUUAUUCACUCAUUUGCGUGUGUGUGUGUAAUCUUUUUUUUCCUUCUACUCUGU
rnacentral:ribozyme from 1 species